rnacentral:lncRNA from 1 species
GCCACUUCAUCGAAAUCAGGGAUAGCGGGGUUAAUAGGGUUAUCUCUGGGGUUAGAGCCUGAUCCGGCUUGAAAGUUCAUUGGCGUUUUGACACUGGCCUGAAAUUGCUGAGGCCUAAUUUUGACAGAGGAUUUGCGCAGGUGUACCUCAGCUUGGGUCUGCACGUGCGGAGGGGUAAAGCCGGGAGGAUAGAGAAGUCCAUCAUUGUCUCCUUCAGCAUUAGCCAUAGGGC